GUAGCUUCGGCCUGACACAGCCCAAGGAGGUCCCACCUCCCGCGCAUGCGAUGUGAGUCUCAACUCCCACCUCCCGCGCAUGCGAUAUUUUAAUUAACUUCUCAAGGCCAACGAGUUAAUCAGUGGAAAGCAGAGAUGAAAAGUGGGACACCUGCUUUCCUGUGUGCUCAAAAUCACCAGCCACCCUCCCAUUGUCUUCCCUGCCAAGCCUUGGGUCUGCAGGAAAAAGUCGAUGGCCUUUUCCAGGAGAGAAGAGCAGAGUUCAAAAAUCCAUCAGCCUAACAGAUGCUUCUGAAUGGAAACUCUGGGACCGGGACACAGAAAUCUCAAAUUGUUUGAUCACCUCUUCGUCACUGUCAGAAGAUGUGCAUGGCUCUUCAUCAUCUCCAAAGCUGUUAACUGGGAUCAAACAAGAGCCGUGAGUCUCAUGUGGGGCUCACAAGAAUACAGAGAUCAAUAAUCCAGAGAAAUAGAAGAACAUGGAAGAACAUGAAUGAUUAGUCUGGAUAAAGCAGGCCCAAAUCAGACAGAAAGAUUUUAAAGCAUUUUUUGAAACACAAAUUUGAGUCCAAAGAAAUAAAACAGGAAAAUAAAGCUUAUGUGGGCAAGUAGAAAUAUAUGGCUGGAACCCAGGAGGAACCAUCGGGACACCCCUAGUUGACAUAUUAAGACCUUUUGUUGAGCAGGGCAGCCCUGCUGAUUUGUUGCGUUGCUGACAUGUGCUUAGAACUGGGAACAGGGCAUUUGACAAUGAUGACAGAAAAUAUGCUCUUAGCUUCAUCUCUGUUAUUAAAACACAAACAGCCAAGUCCCACUCCAGAGAAGACAUACUUGCAACUGAGAACUUCCAAUAGUGUCCUAGUUUUGAAGAGACACCCACAGUUGUGUAUGCAAUUUAUACAAA